UUGCUUUCUUUGCUGGCGACCGGCGCACGGGUGAGUAACACGUAUCCAACCUGCCCUUUACUCGGGGAUAGCCUUUCGAAAGAAAGAUUAAUACCCGAUAGUAUAAUGAUUCCGCAUGGUUUCAUUAUUAAAGGAUUCCGGUAAAGGAUGGGGAUGCGUUCCAUUAGGUUGUCGGUGAGGUAACGGCUCACCAAGCCUUCGAUGGAUAGGGGUUCUGAGAGGAAGGUCCCCCACAUUGGAACUGAGACACGGUCCAA
rnacentral:rRNA from 1 species